UACGUAGGCAGCGAGCGUUGUUCGGAGUUACUGGGCGUAAAGCGUGCGCAGGCGGUUUUGUAAGCCAGAUGUGAAAUCCCCGGGCUCAACCUGGGAAUGGCAUUUGGGACUGCAAGGCUGGAGUACGGCAGAGGAGACUGGAAUUCCUGGUGUAGCAGUGAAAUGCGUAGAUAAUCAGGAGGAACACCGAUGGCGAAGGCAGGUCACUGGUCCGGUACUGACGCUGAGGUGCGAAAGCGUGGGGAGCAAACAGG
rnacentral:rRNA from 1 species